UCCUACGGGAGGCAGCAGUGGGGAAUUUUGGACAAUGGGGGCAACCCUGAUCCAGCCAUUCCGCGUGAGUGAAGAAGGCCUUCGGGUUGUAAAGCUCUUUCAGCUGGAACGAAACGGUGUGCUCUAACAUAGCGCGCUAAUGACGGUACCAGCAGAAGAAGCACCGGCUAACUACGUGCCAGCAGCCGCGGUAAUACGUAGGGUGCGAGCGUUAAUCGGAAUUACUGGGCGUAAAGCGUGCGCAGGCGGAUUGUUAAGCAAGACGUGAAAUCCCCGGGCUUAACCUGGGAAUGGCGUUUUGAACUGGCAGUCUAGAGUGCGUCAGAGGGGGGUGGAAUUCCACGUGUAGCAGUGAAAUGCGUAGAGAUGUGGAGGAACACCGAUGGCGAAGGCAGCCCCCUGGGAUGACACUGACGCUCAUGUACGAAAGCGUGGGUAGCAAACAGGAUUAGAUACCCUUGUAGUC
rnacentral:rRNA from 1 species